GUCAUGAUCCUGGCAUCCUAGAAUGGAGCCCCACAUUAGGCUCCUGGCUCAGCAUUUCAGAACUCUUCCAGCAUUUUUCUGAACCACAGCAGACUAACUGGCUUUAACAAAGCAAGGAUGGGUCCAUUGUUCCCAUUAUUUCAAAAGUUUCCUCGUGCAGAGUGCUGAAAAGUCUAAAUCAGAGGUUUGUGGCCUGCACAUAAUUGGACAUGAUGGGGAUGAGCCUAUAAGAAAGACCCCAUGGGACCAUCUGGCCAAACACAGCUGCAAAAAAAACCAAGCCUCUCUGUCUGGAAAAAGUUGUGAUGGACACAGAAUUGGAAGGGCUUCCAAGAGAAAUGGUGGAUUCCUCACUAGGAACAUUUGAUAUGGGCAGAGCACAUAGCAGGGGCCUUUCCAACACAGGGCAGGGUAUAAGAGGCUUUUCCAAUGAUGACUGAUGCAGCUUGUCCUUUAGGACUGUUCUCUCACAGUACAAGGAGGAAGGUGAACCAUCAGUUAUGUAAUUAUCUCCAUAGAUGUAUCUCUGUACAUCUUUUGGAAAUUAAGAUUUUCUGACACAAAAUUGGCCCCACACAGGUCUUGUGAAUGUCAACAUGAUUCAAAGCUGGAAAGUGAAGAGUAAUCAGUAUAAUCCAGUUCUGCUGCUUAAAUUCAGCCCUGUCCUCAGUUAACAUCAGGUCAGCAUCAAAUGAUCUCCAAUUUUCUUUCCAGACCAACCAUAUAGUUUCCUUUUUUGCCAACUUCAAGUAGAGGUAAAAAAUAAAGAACACUGAAAAAAGAUGUUAUCAUCUCCCUAGCCAAGAACAAGUGUGAGAAAUAGGAUAUAGUCACUCCAAAGUUUUCACAGGAAGACCCAAGUGUCUAUUCCUUGUAUUGGUGCUUCAAGAAAUGAAACCUGAUAACAAAGACCAUUUGCCAAACAAGGCAUAAUUUUCUUUGUUUCAGUUUUGUUUGGAAUGGAGAAUAGGGAGAGAAAAAAAACAACAACGACACACAUAUGGGAUAAGUUCUACACAAAUAUAUUUGAGAAGGAAUCCUCUACCAUGUGCAAAGGAGAAUCUUAUUAGAGAGCAUGGGAGCUGAAGUUUAGGAUCUGGGAGUAAAAUUAUAACAUACAAUAACACUUAUAAAGGUAAAAAUAGACUGGAAUGAUCUAAAAUGCAGGUUACAAAAGCAGAAAGUUCUAGCUAAGACUUUCAUUCAAGAGAAGUUUAGAAUACUUAUAUACAAAUUCAAUUCAAUUCAGUGAUUGGCCAUCUACUAUAAGUCUAGCAUUAUGCUAAGAACUGCUGGGAAAACAAAGUUAAAUAAUACAUAGUACAUCUCAAAAUAUUUGUAGUUCUCAGAAAGAAAAAUUGUUCAAUUUAUCACUUAAGAGGUCCUACUCACUUUCCAGUUUAGUAGGGGCUUGGCCAAAAUGGCUUAUUGAAAAGACAGAAUUUGGAGUCACCAGACCUGGAUUCAAAUCCUGACUAAACAAUGUAUAAGUGUAAAUAGAGAUGGUACUUUGCCUUGCCUACAGAGUGGAUUGAAUGGGGGUGAUGAGAACUGUAAAGCUUAUAUUCACUGUUGUUCAUAAUUGUAUCUCAAUCUAACUACUUAACCAUUCUAAUUCUACUAUGCCACUCCUCACCACCCCACAAACUAGAAAACAUCAAAAGCUGCACCAGCCACUGCACAAAUGAAUAAUAUGAGACUUCGUUUUUACUACUGCUUAAUGAGAAAGGCAAUAAAUUCAAUCCAAAAACCAAACUGGUUUUCUCUUGUCAAAAUCUCCUCAAAAAUAUGUGCAGAAUAUAUUGCUAAAGUUCUUGUAGACUGGCCUGGGGAGAAAAAAUAUGUGUAUUUGGAUAAUGUUCAAAUAUAGCACUGAACACACUUUUCUGAAUACCUAGAGAGGUGAACCUGACUAGCAUCUCACUGGCCUUAAACAUCAAGGAGAACUAAGAAAGUAAAGAAAGACCAAAUACAUGGCUGAAAUACUAUCUGGGUGUUAGGGUUUGCAGUGGCCUCAGGAGACCUUGGCUGAUAUCUACUAGCUUCAGGGUUGAAAACUCAGGUGCUAAUUAUGAACUCACAUAGGAGAGACCCCAGAGACCUAAGCAUAUCAAAUAUUUCAAAUUCUAACCAUAUAGUGAGAAAAUCAGAGUGGAAGAGUAAAGAGAGGAGAUGAAUGACUUUACAGCCAAGUAAGACAAGUAUGUAGCUGCCUAUCAGGUCAAAAUGAUUCCCCAAAUGGAAAUGAUUCCCAAAAUCUCAACAGACUUAUUAACUGGAGCCAAAAAUUCUCCAAUGUCAUAUUUUAAGGCAGACAAGACAUGGUCUUAAAAAGAAAACAGCCAAAAUCUCACUGCCACUUUCCCUAGCUCUUGGUUUUUCUUUCCCCACCAGAUGACUGGUUUUGUGUUGUGUGCCGCUCUUUUUGCUCAGUUCACAGUACAGCGCACACCUAUACGUUCUGUGAAAACAAAUAAAAGACUCAUGCUGGUGACUCUCAGCAACAACUUUUUCCCCAAGAGGGACAGGGCUUCGGAAGAAAUCUAAGUGUACAAUUACUGUUCUAUUCCCAAAUCCGUUACUCUGAUGAAGUAAAGUUUGAUUAAAAUGGACACACACACAGUGAUGAACUUUAAAAUGAUGUAACAAAAGGGCCGCUUAAGAGUGAAAUGAGAGAAAUUCUGUCCCUUUUGGCAUGAAACAAUGAACCUGUGGAUUAGUUAUGUUCACAAAACUGUAAGUCUUUUUGUGCAUCUCCAGGCAGGAUGACAUCCCUAUCACCUUCCUCCUUGAGUCAUUUCCCUCCCACCAGUGCACAAAGAAUAGAGAGUGAAAUUUAGGGAAAAUUUCUUCAAUCUUCUAGAGAUGCCUCUGAUUAUGGGACCCACAGACACUAAUAUGCUUCAAUAAGAAAAGUGAAUCUUGAAGCAAAUACUAAUAAAAACAAUCUAGGAUUCUGAGUUACAAUUAAGCAUGCUUAGUUUCAGUCAUAAUCAGCAUGGAGAUUUUAAUUCCCAAUGGAAAAUUAGCUUAGUAAGUGAGGUCCAGUGGAAACCAAAGCCAUGCUUUUCAGCACUUUCUAAACCAAACUUGGAUUUAAUUAAUUUCUUGACUACAAAUUAUUCUAGCAAUUUCACAAACUGUACCAAGACAAAGGGCAAACUCAUGUAGUUAAUUCCCCAUAAGAAAAUUGUCCAAAAAGCCUAGACUUGAGGUCAGAAGCCUUAGGUUGAGAUGCUGAUUUCUGGACUGUAGUUAUGUAGCUUUGUAUAAGUCAGUUUUUCUGAGGCUCAGCUGCUUCACCUGCAAAAUGAAUAUU